GAUGAACGCUGGCGGCGUGCCUAAUACAUGCAAGUCGAGCGAACGGACGAGAAGCUUGCUUUUCUGAUGUUAGCGGCGGACGGGUGAGUAACACGUGGAUAACCUACCUAUAAGACUGGGAUAACUUCGGGAAACCGGAGCUAAUACCGGAUAAUAUUUUGAACCGCAUGGUUCAAAAGUGAAAGACGGUCUUGCUGUCACUUAUAGAUGGAUCCGCGCUGCAUUAGCUAGUUGGUAAGGUAACGGCUUACCAAGGCAACGAUGCAUACCCGACCUGAGAGGGUGAUCGGCCACACUGGAACUGAGACACGGUCCAGACUCCUACGGGAGGCAGCAGUAGGGAAUCUUCCGCAAUGGGCGAAAGCCUGACGGAGCAACGCCGCGUGAGUGAUGAAGGUCUUCGGAUCGUAAAACUCUGUUAUUAGGGAAGAACAUAUGUGUAAGUAACUGUGCACAUCUUGACGGUACCUAAUCAGAAAGCCACGGCUAACUACGUG
rnacentral:rRNA from 1 species